UUAAUUUUACAACCUACCAUCAAAUAAAGAUUGGGAAACAAAAUGAUUUCUGUCCAAUAAACAAUCAUAAACAUCAAUAUUUUGUUAAAAUCACAUAAGAUCCAAAACAAAAUCAAUUUUGAAACUCUUGUGAAAUCAAACACCCUAUAAUUAGUUCAUUGACAAAUUUGAUUUAAUAUUAUAGAAUCUAUUGCAUCAGCUACACUUAUUCAUUUUUAAAAGACAAAGCACAGAAAAAUCCAAGAAAGUAAAAAGACAAACCAAGAAAAAAGGGUAAAGAAAACUUCACCUAAAGUUGCAGAUCUGAAAGUGGUCCAUCCAUCAACAACACUUCUGUUACCAGUGAUGACAGUAGAAUCACUUCCAUCACCAAGCAUCACAAUAUACAACUAGCAUUUCAUUUGGAUCAUAUUCAUCAAAAUCUAACCUUUUUGAUAACCAUUUUGGAGAAACCAAAUUUUUGUUGUGACCCUUUUGAUUUGAAGGCUCAGGUGCAUGAUUAGAAAGCAUAGAAAGAGAGUUACUUACAUGUUUGGCUGCACUGAGGUAGAUUCUAGCAUCAGCUAUGUUUCUUUUGUUCGAGGAACGGAUUCCGGAUAAUGAUCUUUUCAAUGAAGUUAAGGUUGAUUGAUGAAGUUCCUUGCAGUCUUGAAUUGAUCCUCGUUGUUUC